AAUGCCAUUUAAGACCCACAUUCUCCUCUACCUCACGAAUUUUCUCUCUGCCUUUUGCUCAAGAAACGAAAUUUCUCAUCCCUGAUCUUGGAGUUUCAGACCCUGUUAGCACUUCCUCACUGCGACUUUCAUCUUGGUUUUUUUUAAGGUUGGAACUUGGUGAAGAGAUCAGAUAGUCUUGCUCCUUGUUGACUUGGGAUUUGCAUGCAAAGAAUGCAGGGCCUGGAUUGGAGAGUUGACAAUAUUAUUGCUCACUCUUGCAUUGGAGAUUUAAAACACUAUCAACAAUAUCAUGCCUACUAGGCAAAUUUUCAAUUAUCAAGCUGGAAUCUUGCAGGGCCUGGAUUGCAUGACUUUCAAGAAGUAAAUAAAGCCAAUUAACCAGAAGUUCCUGAUAUGAAUCUGAAGGGUACUAAGUUUGUCAGGUUUGCUGAUUGGCAUUCAGAGGGAUCUACAAGCUCUGAGAGGGAAUUUUCAACUGAUGGACGAAAUCCAAGAAGAGCUAGGCCAUCUUUGAAUGAAGUAAUGAGUAGUGUUCGAAGAGGAUUCAAUAGGGGUUCAGAUAGGUUUAAAACCUCGAAAAAACCAUUAAGUCCCGGUAAACAGCCAGCAAAGGAGCAAGGCCCUCGGAAGAACAUUCUCGACCCUCAGGGAUCAUUUCUUCAGACUUGGAAUAAGAUAUUUGUGAUAUCUUGUGUCAUAGCUGUGUCAUUGGACCCCUUGUUUCUUUAUACUUCGGUGGUUGAUGGCACGAAGAAAUGCCUUGGAUUGGACAAAGACCUCCAGAUCGUUUCUUGUGUACUUCGUUCUUUCACCGAUGUUUUUCAUAUACUUCAUAUAAUAUUUCAGUUCCGGACUGGAUUUAUUGCUCCAUCUUCUAGAGUAUUUGGAAGGGGUGAGCUAAAUGAUGACCCUGUGGCCAUUGCAAAGAGAUACUUGUGUUCAUACUUCAUUAUAGAUGUUCUAGCUAUUCUUCCUCUACCACAGGUUGUAGUAUUUUUCAUUGUCCCUAUAAUAGAAACUCCGGUUCCAAUAUUUGCAAAGAACUUAUUGACGAUUGUAAUUGUUUGCCAAUAUGUGCCAAGACUUAUACGAAUCUAUCCACUAUACAAAGAAGUUACAGCAACUUCUGGCUUCCUGACUGAAACUGCAUGGGCUGCAGCUGCAUUCAAUCUUUUGCUAUACAUGUUAGCUAGCCAUGUAGUUGGAGCAGUAUGGUACUUGUUCUCUAUUGAUCGAGAGUAUAGGUGCUGGCGUGAUCAUUGUGAACUUGAUAUAGACUGUAAGACAUACCUGUACUGUGUUCCUGACAGGGAAGAAAACCAGACAAUUGUUGACAUGUUAAAAGCUUCUUGCCCCUUUACCAAACCUGAUGACAUUAAAGAUUCAUCCGUGUUCAACUUUGGGAUAUUUGCUGAAGCUCUGGAGUCAGGUGUGAUGGAGACAACUGACUUUCCAAAGAAAUUUUUAUACUGCUUCUGGUGGGGUCUGCGCAGCCUUAGUUCUCUAGGUCAAAACCUCAAAACUAGCACUUUUGUUUGGGAGAUACUAUUUGCUGUCUUCAUUUCUAUCUUUGGACUGGUGCUAUUUUCAUUGCUCAUUGGAAAUAUGCAGAAAUUUCUACAGUCAACAACUGUGAGAGUCGAAGAAAUGAGAGUGAAAAGGCGAGAUGCAGAACAGUGGAUGUCCCACCGAAUGCUCCCUGAGAAGCUGAGGGAAAGGAUCAGACGCUAUGAUCAGUAUAAAUGGCAAGAAACAAGAGGUGUUGAGGAAGACACUCUAGUUCGAAACCUUCCCAAAGACCUAAGGAAGGACAUAAAACGCCAUCUUUGCUUGGCUCUUCUAAAGAGAGUGCCAAUGUUUGGGAAAAUGGAUGAUCGGCUGAUGGAUGCCCUGUGUGACCUUCUCAAGCCAGUUCUUUUCCCAGACAAUAGCUUCAUCAUCCGCGAAGGUGAUCCAGUUGAUGAGAUGCUCUUCAUUAUGCGUGGAAACUUAGCAACUAUGACUACUAAUGGUGGAAGAACUGGCUUCUUCAACUGUGCUGAUCUUAAGGCUGGUGAUUUUUGUGGAGAAGAGCUUCUUACAUGGGCAUUGGAUCCAAAAUCCACUUCAAAUCUCCCUCUCUCAACUAGAACAGUGGAAGCGAGAACUGAGGUGGAAGCAUUUGCUCUGAGGGCUGAUGAUUUAAAGUUUGUCGCCUCCCAGUUUCGGCGCCUGCACAGCAGGCAGGUCCAACAUGCUUUCAGGUUCUACUCCAUGCAGUGGAGGACAUGGGCAACCUGUUUCAUACAAGCAGCUUGGCGCCGGCACUGCAAGAGAAAGCUCGACAAGUCAUUACGUGAAGCAGAAGACAAGCUGCAUUAUGCUUUUGCAGAAGAUGCUGGAACCUCACCAAGCCUUGUUGCCACCGUAUAUGCAUCAAGGUUUGCAACCAAUGCACUACGCGCCUUGCGGCAGAAGGGUGGGCAUGACACUAGACCUUUACCGGCAUUGCUGCCACUGCUGCCUCCGAAACCCACUGAGCCUGACUUUACUGAAGAACAGGAGGAGUGACUAUCCUUAAGGAGUUUUUCCUUAGUUCGAAAGGAGGCAGAGUAUGUUGUUCUUGGGUAUGGCACGAGGUUUCCUAAUUUUGAAAGGACGCAGAGGUCUCAUAAUCCUAUUUUUGGUGGGAGGAGGAGAACUAAAGGACAUGACCGAAAAACACACUUCCUUUACCCUUGACACCAAAACGAGUUGGGAGGACUUGAAACUGUUGUCAAUCUUCUUCUUCAGUCAAUUAUGGCUUCAGACUGGGCAGCACUGCCAAAUGACAUUUUGGAUUAGAAAGAUUGGAGUUGCUAUCAGACUAUGUGCGCUUCAGUGUUGUUUGUAUGUCAUGGUACUAUGUGACAAAGGGUCAUCAAAGUCGAUGUCUAGCUAUCAUGCCUAAAUGUCCAAUGCUUAUGAUUUCCACAGACAAAGAAGAUACAUGGAGUGUAUACAAUGUCAUGGACAACAAGAUCCUUGAUUUGCAAGUAAACCUGCCACACAUGCGGUUCUGUGGCUCGUCGAAAGGAUGGUUAGUAGCCAUUGAUUUGAAUUUCGUGGUAACCCUGAUAAAUCCAUUCUAUAGGGUUAAAGGAAGAGAAAGAGAAGAUUCAAUCAUCUAAACCCUCCAAACAUGGAUGAGAUGAGGAAACGCCAUGUUGAACAUUGGUCAAAUUGUGAUUAUUUUGUUCAGAAAGUGACACUUUUUGCUGACCCGGUGUUGGAUGCAGAGAAUUGCAUUAUUGUGCUCAUAUACAAGGGGCGAGUGGGUUUUAUUAGAAUCAGCAAGGACAUACAUAGCAUGGACUUAUACUGAAGAAAGGUUCAUUCACCCUGUGCAGAAAGUAAUUUCUGUUGAAGACAAAUGUUAUUGUGUCACUGCAAAAGGUAAACUCCCUAUGUUUUCAAAUUACCCCGGAGGAUUACUCAGACAUAAAUUUGGUAGGUAUGCAAGUCGAGGAGACAUACCGAGGGAUGUUCCGAAGGAUGUAUAUAGUGCAUGCAAAUGAAAAAGACUUGUUAAUGGUUCAACGAUUCAUGACUUUUGAUGAUGGUGAUCAUUGUGAGAACCGCCGAACCGAGAAGGCUCUAGUGUCCAGAUUUGAUUUUGUCGAAUGUAAGUUGACCAAGAUAAACUCCUUGGGCGAUGUUUCUCUUUUUAUGGGUGAAAACUCUUCCAAAUCAGUGUUGCAAUUGGCUUAAAGUAAUUCUGGAUGUCUACCGAAUUGCAUUUACUUCACACAUGAUCAUGACACCACACGUCGUUACGCAGGAGUACCCCAUUGUGAUUUAGUGUUUAUAGCCUUGAAUGUCAAAGUUUCUUGCCGUUAGACAACACACGUUGCAAACCUAGUGAAGAACACUGGACGUGGACGACCAAUCUGGGUCCUUCCAACCUUUAAAUUGUAAUAUGUUUCUCAUAGGCACAGAAAUCUUCUGUUAAUUGAAUGAUAUGAACCAAAUUCGAAGUUCCUUCGAAUAAUAUCAGUUUUAUA